CAAAUGGGUGGCAGUGCCGAGCCCCUGUGCUUUUGCUGCAGGCCGGAGCUGCUGCAGAGAGCUGAGAGCUCCGUGCAUAUUCACAGCCUGCAAGGUUCAUUUCCAGUGCACAGAUCACCCGUGGGAUGACUUAGAGAAACAGUAGGACAUACAGACUGUUAUCUUUCCUUUCUUAAAUCUGUAUUUAAAAUCUAUGUAUAUCUGCACAGAUGAGGAUGAAGCUCAAUUGCAAAAGGUAUUGCAUACUUUUCAUGUUACACAAACUCCAACAAAAAGAAGAUGAAAUGAUGCUGCCAACAGUCUUUUUAAGGUCCAAAUGAGAACUCCAGUGAUAAUUAUGCUCUCAAAAAUGGUACCUCUUUAUGAAAAUGCUGUUCUACAAAAAAAAAAAAAAAAAAAAAAAGAGGGGGAUUGGGAGAAAGGAGAAGAAUCAAAUACUGCAUCGUAUGGGAAACAGGAUAGUCUUUGAUCUCCUGGAAUAUGACAUUAUUAUUUUACUUGAAAAAAAAUAUUAAAAUUAACUUGUGAAACCUUUAA